rnacentral:rRNA from 3 species
UUUUAAUUGAAGGCUGGUAUGAAUGGUUGGACAAAGGAUAAGCUGUCUUUAUUUUUGUUUUUGAAAUUGUCUUUUAAGUGAAAAGACUUAAAUUGUUUUAAGGGACGAUAAGACCCUAUAAAUCUUUAUAUUAAUAUAAUUUUCAUUUUAAUUUUUAAUGUUUAUAAAAUUGAAGGUGUAGUGUAUUGUAUUGGGGUGAUAAGAAUAAUAAAAUAAACUGUUCUAAAGUUUGAACAAAGUUAUUUGGAAUAGUUGUAGAUCCUUUAUAGAGACUGGAAGUUUAAGUUACUUUAGGGAUAACAGCGUUAUUUUUUUUGAGAGUUCUAAUCGAAAAAAAAGUUUGCGACCUCGAUGUUGAAUUAAAAUUUCUUUAUGGUGUAGCCGUUAUAAAAGAAAGUCUGUUCGACUUUUAAAAUUUUACGUGAUCU